AAUUUUGGACAAUGGGGGAAACCCUGACCCAGCAACGCCGCGUGAAGGAAGAAGGCCCUCGGGUUGUAAACUUCUUUUAUUCGAGACGAAACAAAUGACGGUACCGAAUGAAUAAGUCACGGCUAACUACGUGCCAGCAGCCGCGGUAAUACGUAGGUGGCAAGCGUUAUCCGGAUUUACUGGGUGUAAAGGGCGUGUAGGCGGGACUGCAAGUCAGAUGUGAAAUUCCAGGGCUCAACUCUGGACCUGCAUUUGAAACUGUAGUUCUUGAGUGAUGGAGAGGCAGGCGGAAUUCCGAGUGUAGCGGUGAAAUGCGUAGAUAUUCGGAGGAACACCAGUGGCGAAGGCGGCCUGCUGGACAUUAACUGACGCUGAGGCGCGAAAGCGUGGGGAGCAAACAGG
rnacentral:rRNA from 1 species